rnacentral:lncRNA from 1 species
CGUCGAAAACCUCACAGUAGUAGCUUUUGUAGGCGGUGGUAGUAACUUUUGUAGGCAGUGGUAGUAGCUUUGUAGGCGGUGGUAGUAGUUUUGUGUUCGUCGGAAACCUCACAGUAGUAGCUUUUGUAGGCGGUGGUAGUAGCUUUUGUAGGCGGUGGUAGUAGGUUUUGUGGCUGGUGGUAGUAGCUUUUGUGUUCAUCGGAAACCUCACAGUAGUAGCUUUUGUAGGCGGUGGUAGUAGCUUUUGUAGCUGGUGGUAAUAGCUUUUAUAGUUAGUAGCAGUAAUUUUUGUCAUCGUCGGAGGUCGGCCGGAAACCUCUCCGGAGUUCGGUUGGAAAUCUCGCCAGAGGUCGGCCGGAAACCUCGUCGGAGGGUCGGCCGGAAACCUCACUGGAGGUCGGCCGGAAACCUCGCAGGAAGUCGGCCGGAGACUGUUCCGAAAUGAGAGUGGUUGUUGACUUUUUAUACUAAUGGCAUUCUUGUAAAUAUAAAAGAGAAAAUCUAAUUUUUUUUAUUGGAUGGUAGUCUGUAAUUACGUUGAACUUCAAUACUUAAUACAAAACCUUAUUUAGACUUGGGUGGACUUAUGUGGGUAAAAAUGUUGGGGUGAAUCUAUGUGGGAAAAAAUAUCUCAAAGUGAACUUAUAUGUAAUUGGCCCAAAAGAAUAUAUGUGGUAUGAAGACUUAUUCGUUCAUAUAAAUUUAUUGAAGAAACGUAACAUCGAUAUCUUAAUUGUUAAAGAUACAAGGCAUCGAUCACCUACAUAAACUGACACAGAUUAAUGAGCAUAAGGAUCUUAUAUGGUUUAUAUUAAAAUUGCAACAAGGUAGGAGAGACUUACUAUACUUUGGACAUAUUUCACCUUUGUCGACGUUCAAGAUCUUCUACUCGAUAAUUCGUGCGGAACUUUGCUACACAUUCACACUCACCAACUCCCAAUUCGGCUAUUCUUAUCCGGACGGAUAUGUUGUUGAAGUUUGCUAAAUCCUUCACUGAUUUUAUUAUGAUAAUAUUGUGGGUUUCAAUUUUUGACAUAUAUGAAGGGAAAAUCCAAAUUUCAAACAUUAAUCAAGAUACUGUAUCACUUAUAAAGAUAG